UUUAUUUUUUAAAGAUUUAUUUAUUAUAUUAAGUACACUGUAGCUGUCUUUAGACACACCAGAAGAGGACAUCGGAUCUCAUUACAGAUGGUUGUGAGCCACCAUGUGGUUGCUGGGAAUUGAACUGAGGACCUCUGGAAGAGCGGUCAGUGCUUUUAACCGCUGAGCCCUAUCUCCAGGCCAAGAAAAAGAUGAUCUUAAGAUGUCAGAUAUAACUGGAACGUGGUGGCACACUCCUUUAAUCUCAGCACUCCAGAGGCAGAGACUGGUGGAUCUGAGCUCAGUCUACAGAGGAAGUUCCAGGACAACCAGGGCUAUACAGAGAAAACAAACAAACAAACAAUAACAAAACCAAAAAAUGUCAGGAACACCAGCCAAAUGUUGUGUAAGCCUAUUUAUACAACAUUCUAGAAAAGGCACAACUAUGGAUAUAAACAACAGUUAUCCAGGUGUGUACACAACUUUCAUCCCAGCACUCAGAAGGCAGAAGCAGAGGGAUCUCUAUGAGUUCAAGGCCAUCCUGGUAUACAGAGUGAGUUCUAGAACAGUCUGGAGUACAGUGUGAGACACUGUCACAAUACACAAAAACAGAAAAGGUGAGGGUAGGUUAAGUAAUCAAAGUAUAAGACAGCAAAUGAGCCUAAGCUGGAGAUGUAGCUCAGUGAUAGUGCACUUGCUUAGCAUGAGUUUGUGUCACAGUAGUCACCCCCAAACUGGACAACCCAUCUGGAAAGACACAUUUCAAACAAAAAAAUAUGCAAAGUGCUCUCAGUACCGUUAGUUUUCAGGGAACUAUAGGAAAUUAAGCUAUAACAAGUAGUGUAGCAUGUAAUCCCAGCCACAGUGACUAUUACAAAAGUAAUGCUGGUGAGGGUGUGGCAACAGGAAACUUGGUGACUUUGUUGCUGGGAAUGGAAAUGAAUCCAGCCAGUAUGUAGUAUCUUCAGAAAACCAAGACUACUGUUUCCAGGUAUAGAUUCAAAGGAAAUGAAGUCAGCAAGCCAGAAAAACCUGCACACCUGCAUUGCUGCACUGCUGGCGGUUAUGCUAUGGAAUCUGUCUAAAUGCUCUUCAAGGGCUAGUGAAAUGGCUCAGCAGAUAUAGAGUGCUUGCCUUCUGAUGGAAAUCUGGUCAGCCCAGCCUGGCAAACACUGCUCUGGCAGGCUUUGCCUUUCGCCCUUAUUCCCUCUGCCUCACUAAAAACUGUUCGAUUACAUUCCUAAAGGUAACCUCCAUGGUCUAUUCCCUUAUUUGGUCACUUCCUCCCACGGAGGCUAUCGAAGUCCAGCUAUCAAAGUAUUGAAGUCCAGCAAUCAAAAGCCCCCUUUGGCUCACCUAAUUAGCAUGCCCAAUUAAAAUGAAACAUUCAUUCUAACAUGGGGUUUCCCCUUUUUACUUUUAUAAACCGCUAUUUGCCUAUGGGCCAGGUCUGUCUCUUCUAUCCAGAGGUAGUCCUUUGUCCUGUGGAACAAAUACCCCUUCCCCUUCUCCCUCUUCCUUUAUCUCCUGUCUUUGUCCCUUAUUCCCUGCCCUCUGUCUCUCUGGAGCAAAUAAAUCUUCUUUGUGCCAAGAACUUGCUCUUGGAGGUCCUAAGCGGAUAGAGGUGUCUUAUACCAUCCAAGCCUGAAGACUUUAAUUCUUUCACUGGGUCCUAUGGAAAGAAUGGACUUUGGAAGGUCUACAAUUUUCACAUAUGUGCACACAUAAGUGGGGUACUGUUUAGCCACAGCGAAACCUUGCCUCGAAAUACCAAAACAACAAACAAAAGAAACAGUUGAGAUGAAAACUUUUAUAUAUCACACUUUGCAUUAAUAAUUUAUACUAAAAUGUCAUAUCACACAUAAUUAAGUUCACUACUUAUAAUGUAGGAGGAGAAACAGCAGGAAAUGAAACCCCACUGGGCUAAUGUAAAACGGAAUGCAAAUGAAGGUAAUGCUUGUUGACAUGUUUGUAGUGACUGACAUUCAGUGAUGGGAAGGAUGGAAUGUCCAUACCACUUUAAAAGAAUAACUUUAAUACUAGGGUUUUUGUUAUGUGACAGAUAAUAGAAAUAGUCUCUUCAAAUCCCACCAGUUAAGUAACCAGGUGUUAACAAUGAGUAUGUUUUCAGACUUCUAUGCAUUCGCAUGUAAACCCAGGAAUGAUGGCAAUAACUCACUAUAUUUCUUAUUUUAAUUAAAUGCAGUAGAAAAGGAAUCAGAAGUGAAAUAGGAGCUGCUGAAUGCUGUCAAGCAUUGGGAUCACAUUGAGAAGCACUGUGCUAACAUCAAGAAGCUGUGAAAAAUGUAACUUUUAGCCCUGUCUUAGUCACUGUUCUAUUACUGUGAAGACACCAUGACCAAAACAACCCUUAGAAAAGAAAGCAUUUAAUUGGGGGCUUGCUUACAGUUUCAGAGAUUUAGUCCACAGUUUUUAUAGCAGGGGGCACUGCAGCAGUCAUGGAGCUGUAGUAGCAGCUAAGAGCUACAUCCUGAAACACAGGAGGGAGGGGGGAUUGCAUGGGGGACACGGGACUCAGCCUGGCAUGGGCUUUUGAAACCUCAAAGUCCUAUUCCAGUUACAUGCGUCCUCUAACAAGUGCACACUGACUCCAUCAAAACCACACCUCCCAAUACUUCUCAAACAGUGCCAAUCCCUGGUAUCUAACCAUUCAAAUAUGUGAGCCUAUGGGAGCUGUUCUUAUUCAAACUACCACAGGGUUUCACUGAUGCUACCCAAGUGUUCCACCACGUGGCUGAAGAUUCAUGCCUUCUGGAUUCCAACC
ensembl:lncRNA